GGGUUGUGAGGUUAAGCGACUAAGCGUACACGGUGGAUGCCCUGGCAGUCAGAGGCGAUGAAGGACGUGCUAAUCUGCGAUAAGCGCCGGUAAGGUGAUAUGAACCGUUAUAAUCGGCGAUUUCCGAAUGGGGAAACCCAGUGUGACUCGUCACACUAUCAUUAACUGAAUCCAUAGGUUAAUGAGGCGAACCGGGGGAACUGAAACAUCUAAGUACCCCGAGGAAAAGAAAUCAACCGAGAUUCCCCCAGUAGCGGCGAGCGAACGGGGAGGAGCCCAGAGCCUGAAUCAGCAUGUGUGUUAGUGGAAGCGUCUGGAAAGGCGCGCGAUACAGGGUGACAGCCCCGUACACAAAAGCGCAUGUGCUGUGAGCUCGAUGAGUAGGGCGGGACACGUGGUAUCCUGUCUGAAUAUGGGGGGACCAUCCUCCAAGGCUAAAUACUCCUGACUGACCGAUAGUGAACCAGUACCGUGAGGGAAAGGCGAAAAGAACCCCGGCGAGGGGAGUGAAAAAGAACCUGAAACCGUGUACGUACAAGCAGUGGGAGC
rnacentral:rRNA from 1 species